GUCUACGGCCACACCGGACCAAAUGCGCCCAAUUCUGUCUGAUCUCGGAAGCUAAGCAGUCCUGGGCCUAGCUAGUCCUCUUUGAUU
rnacentral:rRNA from 1 species